UACGUAGGGGGCUAGCGUUGUCCGGAAUCAUUGGGCGUAAAGCGCGUGUAGGCGGUCCGGUAAGUCAGCUGUGAAAGUCAGGGGCUCAACCCUUGAAAGCCGGUUGAUACUGUCGGGCUAGAGUCCGGAAGAGGCGAGUGGAAUUCCCGGUGUAGCGGUGAAAUGCGCAGAUAUCGGGAGGAACACCAAUGGCGAAGGCAGCUCGCUGGGACGGUACUGACGCUGAGGCGCGAAAGCGUGGGGAGCAAACAGG
rnacentral:rRNA from 1 species